rnacentral:rRNA from 1 species
AUUGAACGCUGGCGGCAGGCCUAACACAUGCAAGUCGAGCGGCAGCGGGAAAGUAGCUUGCUACUUUUGCCGGCGAGCGGCGGACGGGUGAGUAAUGCCUGGGAAAUUGCCCAGUCGAGGGGGAUAACAGUUGGAAACGACUGCUAAUACCGCAUACGCCCUACGGGGGAAAGCAGGGGACCUUCGGGCCUUGCGCGAUUGGAUAUGCCCAGGUGGGAUUAGCUAGUUGGUGGGGUAAUGGCUCACCAAGGCUACGAUCCCUAGCUGGUAUGAGAGGAGGAUCAGCCACACUGGAACUGAGACACGGUCCAGACUCCUACGGGAGGCAGCAGUGGGGAAUAUUGCACAAUGGGGGAAACCCUGAUGCAGCCAUGCCGCGUGUGUGAAGAAGGCCUUCGGGUUGUAAAGCACUUUCAGCGAGGAGGAAAGGUUGAUGCCUAAUACGUAUCAACUGUGACGUUACUCGCAGAAGAAGCACCGGCUAACUCCGUGCCAGCCGCCGCAGUAA